UCGGGUGUAGUGUACGGCACACGGCGCGUCUUACCGAAGAUGUGACACCGAUGACGCACAGUCCGGGGUUCGACUCCCCGCGCCCGAA